UGACAGUGCAACACAGAAAUCCCCAGGCCAGCCUGCUGCAGUGAGCUUCUCACUCUCUUCAGAUGUGCCAGCACCUCUGUUAUAAUGAGAUCGAUGCUGUUGGGGUUCAGACUCGUGAACAUCUCAGACGUUAGGUGGUGUUGCUGUUGGUGGACACAGGGAGAUAAAGCAGCAGCAGUUAUUUGGCAUCAUCGUCAUGUUGGCGAAGUACAAUUAAAUGGGUGAAGAGAGGAGUUAUCAGGUGGUCAGGCCUGCUGUGAUUAAUAUUUCAUGCUGUUUACAUGGCUUAGCUGUAAUUCAUGAGCACCUGGGUGCUGCUGUGGGACACUGCACACCUAAAGACAAAAUGAACCGCUCCUGGGCCUGGCUCUAACACGGAACGGAGCCUGAUGGCAGUGGUUUCCUAACGACUCCAAACGUCCUUACUGCUUCUUUGCUAGGUUAUCUCAGGAACACCAGGCUUGACUUUUUCUGAAAGGUUGGAAGAGACCUCCAAGAUCGCCUACUCCAACCUGUUACCUUGUGCUGUUGGUGCUGCAGGGUCUUCUACCCCGUAAUUUCAGUUCUGAAGUGCCUUAAGUCCUCUCAAAGAACAGCUCGGUGCCCUUCUCCCACUGUGUGCGCAUAUUUACCACCUGCAGUGGUUGUUAUUCGCGCUGCCCUGACGUGCCUGCACACUUCACAGCAUGCGCAUCACCCUGGAGGACCCGAGCCGUGCUGCGAGCCCAGGUUCUGCGGGAGCAGCAAGGUGCUGCCAGCCUCUUGUGAAACGUCUCGUUUAUCUCACCUGGGCUUCUAGGUGAUUUUCUCAAGGUGCGUGGAGCUGAGCAGCUCCAUCUCUGCGAUUCUCUCCUCCUGCAGGCAUGUCGGCUUAUUGCAUUAGGUCCAUGCAAACAUCAGUUGCACCAUUCCAACAGAGAAAUGUGCUCUUAGCAGCUGUCAAAACUUCCUGCUCAAUAUAUUCAUUGCUGUCUAUAGACAGUUCUGCCAGCAAAAGCAGAAACAAGUCCUGAUUAGCACUCAGCUAAGCUGAAAGUCCUGACUGCUGUACAUAAAAUAGGUUUAAAUCUUUGUUGUCGCUCCUGAAGUCUGGUUUUUAAUUUUAGCACCUUAAUUGGGACUUCAUAGCUGUGACAUCAAUCCUGCAGCUGAUGAAUACGCAGAUAAAAUGUCCUGUUCUGGUUGCUGACACUGUAGUUUGAGGCUGUGAUUUUGGGAGUUUUUUUUUUUGUUUUUUUUUUUUGAGUCAGGCAGUGAUAAAUUUGUACUGAAAGUUACAGGGGGGUUCGAAUACCUGUACCACAACUGUGUUGUUUGUUUGUUUGUUUUUGUCAUUCCUGUUGUCACACCAUUAAUUCUAAUGUUUUUCAUCUCUGGCUAUUUGAAUUUACAUUGAUUUUUCUCUCUAAGCACAUCUGUAACUCUAGCAGUCCAAUCAAUUAAUAAGUAUCUUUCUAGGCACAGAGGCUGUUUGGUCUGAGCAUGGCACAGCAUUUUAACUUUGAAACGUUCGGCUUCCACUUCGGAUGAAACAGCAGAAAGUGUAAAAACAAGAGCAAACACUUGAUCCUGUUACUUUACCUGCAUAUUUGCUCAUGGGGGCUGUUCUGGGUCUUGGAAUAUAUUUAUUUAUUUAUUUAUUUAUUUCUUCUCUUGCAUGAGGGAGGGCUUAGAUUUCUCGCACAGCUGUGUGUAUCUGAGCAGGUUUUGUG
rnacentral:lncRNA from 1 species